rnacentral:rRNA from 1 species
AUGGCACGCCCAAGGAACAACACACAUAUUUUGUUCUUGGUUGUAGCUCUUCUGGUCAUGUCUACCGCCUUCCUGGCCUGUAAUGCAGACAGUAAGAACAUACAUUUCUCCUGUACAAUUUUCUUUUUGAAACAAGGCAAAUACUUUGCUUAUUAUAUUGAUAUAGUAGGAGCAAAGGACAACCCGGCCGAAGCCAAAAACAAAAAAAGAAAAAGAAUAUAUGCUUCCAUCAUCUUCUUCUUUAUAGAUCUGUUCUUUCUUUCCCUUGGUACAAAACUGACUGUUCAUCUCUGUUCGUGCCGCCGUGCAGUCGACCCACCUACUGCAAUCCCGAUCCCACUCCAAGGUGCUGCUGCAUCUAUUAAGCGCAGGAAAUAA